rnacentral:tRNA from 1 species
GGAGGCUUAGCUCAGUGGUAGAGCACAUACCUAGCAUGUAUAAGGUCCUGGGUUCAAUCCCCAGUACCUCCA